rnacentral:rRNA from 1 species
GAUGAACGCUGGCGGCGUGCCUAAUACAUGCAAGUCGAGCGAACAGACGAUGAGCUUGCUCCUCUGACGUUAGCGGCGGACGGGUGAGUAACACGUGGAUAACCUACCUAUUAUACUGGGAUAACUUCGGGAAACCGGAGCUAAUACCAGAUAAUAUAUUGAACCGCAUGGUUCAAUAGUGAAAGACGGUUUUGCUGUCUCUUAUAGAUGGAUCCGCGCCGCAUUAGCUAGUUGGUAAGGUAACGGCUUACCAAGGCAACGAUGCGUAGCCGACCUGAGAGGGUGAUCAGCCACACUGGAACUGAGACACGGUCCAGACUCCUACGGGAGGCAGCAGUAGGGAAUAUUCCGCAAUGGGCGAAAGCCUGACGGAGCAACGCCGCGUGAGUGAUGAAGGUCUUCGGAUCGUAAAACUCUGUUAUUAGGGAAGAACAAAUGUGUAAGUAACUAUGCACGUCUUGACGGUACCUAAUCAGAAAGCCACGGCUAACUACGUG